rnacentral:lncRNA from 1 species
UAGAAGACUCGUCGAGCGGACUUAGAAUCUACGGACACCAUCACGAAUAACUCUGCCCCGCCCGCCCGCCGUUCGUAUGUUGUGCGCUGCUGUUAUUUUUGGUUCUUGUGUCAUUAUUCCAGGAUUGCCGCAGUUUACCCCCACUUUCCCUUUGGCCUCUUGGGUGUGUUACGUUAGUCUCACCAUUACCGGCUUGUAGCUCCAUGUAGUAGAAGAGAGAGACCAGAUGUCCUCGGUCAUUAUUGGUAUGUGUCUGGCAAAUUUUCCUCGUCCCGUGAUGACGACGAUAAUGUUUGAACCCUUGAACAAUGAUAUCAUGACGAUUGUUGCAUCAUCUCACCUAUGCCGAGUCUUUAUUCUUAUUCAGCUGAUCUGUGUGCACCUGUGACUUGCUGCUCGAUCUGCAUAAGAUCAGCUAGAUAGAAGUGCUAGUUCAGAAUGUAGGAAUGUUCUGAUCUUGUGUGAAAUGCCUGGAAAUUUCUGCAUGAAACCAACAAAUUUCUUUGAAAAUUCCUGUGAAGUAGUUGGUUUCCCAUUGCCUCUUGGUUCAGAAAAGCUUCAUUCCUACUUUGAUUCUCUAUGUUCCCAUCCAAAACAACAUGGCUCUGAGGCUGAAGGUAAAUGUUUCCUAUCCUUUUUGUCUGCCACCAUUACAAGAAAACACAAACCACUCGGAAGAAACCAGGAAAGAGUUAUUCCCAUUGCGUCUUGUUUCACUAUGUCAAUUUCCCCUUCAUCCUCUUACAAUCUAAUCACACAAAGCCACACACUCUUCAGCCAUCUUAUAACUAUCUUGGGAUGGACAUGCUUAGCAAGCCACCCUUUAUGACCACCACCUAUACCAGCAAGAACACCAAAACCUCUAGCUACACGCAGGGGCAUGGUAAUGCGGCAUGUGGACGAACACGAUGGACCGAGGCGCCAUGGCGAUGGGCCGCGCCGCGUCCACCUUCACAGGCUCCAUCCUGGGGAUGCUCCCGUCGGCGCCGGUCACCAGCGCCCUGCCGUUCAGCAGCAUCACCUGGCUCUGGAUGUUGCCGCCCUCAGGCGUGAGGUGGUACUCCUCCCUCGCCGCUCCGGUCGCCUGAGCAAACCUCCCCCCGUGCUUCCUUCCGGCGUGUGCGCCGCGGCCGCCUGAACCUGCCACCUUGACGUGGUUCGUCGCGUUGCCGUGCAGGUUGAUGAGCAGCAGGGUUAUCCCCGGCUGAAAGAGACAGACAUGGAGAAGGUCAGUAGAUGAUGAGACUGUUGAUGUUGUUGUGGUGAUGAAAAUGUGUAGGAUCAUCUGGAUUGCUUACAGCAUGUUUUGCGCAAUGCGCGUAGGCGCGGAUCAUGUUGGUCCCGGUGAACUUGGCUUCUAGAACCUUGGUUCCCAUCAGGCGAUGCCACAGCAGAGCACUGCAGAGGAAAACAGGAAGGAGGAAAUGUCAUGGAAGUCGAAGCUUACACACUUUCAGGCAAGUUCCUAUGUCAUUAGCCAUUGUUUGCAUUGCAAAUUUCAUCAAGUAGCAUACUGAUCUUACCUGUAGUAGUCAGGAUUUGGCUGGAAUGUGGUCGUGUUCAGCAGGCCGUAGUUCCCACCGAUGAAGCUCUGCCUACAGUAGCUCUUGGUGUCGAAUUUCGCCGACAUGCCGAGCUGAUCCAGGAACCUGAAAACCACAAACCCCAUAAGUAAGAACUUCAUCAAGAGUAUCUACUGAAUUUUCAUCUCAAGGAUCUCCCAUCUUACCAGAAGCUGAACACAAAUGCAUCAGUGACAAGGUGAUGCCCACUGUUGUAAGCCCCUCCAGACUCCCCAACCCAGGCGACGGCCGACGUCCCGGCGGCUUUCAGCAGCCCCUGAAGAUCCCUGAACGGGCUCGCCAUGCCGUCGAGCGCCUUCGGGUCGAGGAUCCUGUCAAUCAGAUGUGUGUCCACCCCUGUAAACGUCCAGUGUUUCACAAACGAGUUCAGGUCCGGUUCAUGUAUCUUUUUGUCUGAAAAUUCUUUAAAAUGGGCGUAAGCUUACACACCUGCCCCUAGGUUGUAGAUGUGGUGGGUCACCACGUCGAGCAUGUCUGGCUUGGUCUUGGCGAUGAGCUCGCCGUACCAGGCCGGGUCGAAGAAGCCGCCGGGCGCGAGCACCAGCGGCUUCGCCGGGCUGCCCCGGUACACGCUGUCCACCGUCGUCUUGAGGGCGAUCGCGUCCUUGACGUACUGGGCCGCCCCGAUCUUCGUCCCGAUGCCGGAGCCGCUGAGCUCAUUCCCUGCAAGGAGGAGAGAGCACAUUUCAGGAUGAAACCCCAUCUCCAUGUGGAGUUUCUCGCUUCAGUUACCAAGGGAAAUGGAGGACGUACCGAGCUCCCAUCCAUGGAUUUUGUACCCCUUGCCGGCGGUGUACCGGAUGAAGGACGCCGCGUUCGUGGUGUCCCAGUUGCCUCCCAUGGCCCCGCCCUGCAGUGGCACCCGGCCGUUGAGGGCGUUGAGCCCGAACACGAUCUUGGCCCUGCGGGUUCAGAGUGGAGCGGACCAUGUGAUGUGAUGAUCUUCUGAUCUUCAGAACUCAAAUCAUGGAAGAAACGAGGGAAGAUUGAGGGUGGAAAUUACCCGGAUUUCUGGAAGAAGGCGUUGAGCUCGUCCCAGCGGCGCAUGGGCAGGCAGCCCUCGGUGAAGCCGAACAUCUCCGACUCGCUCUUGGUGAACGGCGCGCAUGGCCCCCGCCGGUCUGCCGUGCCGUACACCACCUUGUCCUGCAGCGAGCCGCCCAGCCGGAGCACCAGCGGCGAGAAGGCUGCAACCAAAAUGGGAAUUGCGCCGCGUUGGCAAGGAUCGGUCAGUGAGCCGCCGCGCCAAGAACCUCUAGCGGGAUGGGAUGGAUGGUGGCCUACCUUUGACGGCAUUGAGAAGGAUUUUGUUGGAGAGAUCCUGCGCGGGGUUGAGAAAGAAAAAAAAUGGUGUUAGUUCGCCGGCGGUGAAGGGAGGGGAGAAACUGGGGGGUGUCGGUGGUGACCACUGACCAGGUUGAGGAGCGAGGCGCGGCCCCAGCUGCAGGUGCCGUAGUCGCACUUGUCGGGCGGCCACCAGUCGAGGGUGGCGCACACGAAGUCCUCGCCCGUGGACGCAAUGGCGCGCCGCCCGUCCACGGAGACGGCCCCCGCCUCCGCCGCCGCGCCCUGCCGCAGCACCGCCAGCAGCCAAAGCGCCCCAACAAGAAGCCGCAGCCCCGCCAUGGCCGCCUCACAGAGCAGAGCAGAGCACAGAAGCCUUCACUCACUACCGCGGCCGGCCAGUCACCUACCUACACGACGGGGUUGGCAGGCAAUGGCGGUCGAUGGAUGGAUGUGUGUCCCUGCCGGCCGGCCACCUACACGGCGCCUAAAUAGUAAAUGGCAAGAGGCCAAGACGCAGGCCGUGGACGCAGGGAGAGGGGGAGGGAGGGGGAAGAUAAGGCGGGUGGCGGUGGGUCUAGCUCUAGGCCGGAUCAUCCGACAGUGUGGAGUGCCAGGACACCACUUCACCCGAUCGCUGCCCGCCCGGUUACUGCGCUGUCGUCGUCGUCCCCAUUUUCACCGCCAUGGUCGAGCUGCCGCUGGCGCUCCAGGUAGGACGGUGACGCGGUAAGCCCGGCGGUGAGGCUGGCCGGGUGGUUAGCGGUUAGCGCGGUUUUGACUGGGUGGGUGCAUGACAGGCGGCAGCGGGGGCGCUGUAGCGGCGCAGGGGGAGUGGUGGGCGGUGCAGUGUCCGCCAGGAGGACGAGCAAGGGCCCAACCAACGGCAGCAGUAAAUGUAGACCGCCUUGCACUGCAUGCUUUCAUGAUCUUUAUAAAUAUCCAGCGGCAGUGCAUCUUACAACAUACUACAUACACGAAAAGGGCGGUACCAUUCUUGAUGCAAAUCAUUUGCGCGAUUUCGGACGGCAUGAUUACAGUGGGUACACGACGGAAUAUUAUGACACACGGUGGAACAAGAAGAAAAACACGAUGGAACACUCCCUCCGUGUCAAAUUGUAAGACGUUUUUUGACACGGUAUACGUCUUGUAAGAAGUUACUACCACUUGGAGUAGUGCCGUCGUUCAAAGCUGAACAAUACGACGCGAGAGAGGUAGAUACAUACAUGCAUGGGGGCAUGGGGCCGUACACCGACGAACCCCACGCCCCACGGUGCAUCGAUGGUCCUCCUCUUCAUCUGUUCUCCCAUCCUAAAAUGGCCCGGGCUAGCAGAACUAGUUGGAGGCAGCAUGCACGUUCGCUUUCCUCUGUGGUCCGUGGUGGUGGGCUAGGGCUAACGGAGAAAGGUCGUCGACCGGCAUGGCAUGGUGAGCACAGCUAAGCUACCACUGGAUGCCAAUUGCCAAAGCAAAAGUUAAGGGAGGCCACGGUCUAUACUUUGAACACAAGAGGAAGGUGUCGUCGUCUGCCACUGAUCUACCACUCCGGGUUGCUCACAAGCUAGCUACGGCGGUUCUUGGGAGCCCCCAGGGUAGGUAGGUGUACCAUGGUGUUUCACCAAGCCAGAAUUGAUGUAACCGAACUUGUGUCUUGGGUUGAGCAUCCCCUCCCCUGCUCACGAGACACUCUAGCACGCCUUCUAGUGUACGUGCCAGAGCGUCUUCACCAUUGUAAACAUUUCCCACCUGUCAACGCAAUGAUACGCUUCCAUGCGUAUUGGCAAAGAAGAAGAAGAAUUGAUGUGUGUGUGUGUGUGUGUGUGGGUGGGUGUGGGUGUGGGGUGAUGAGGUGUUCACUAUCGCUUAGAGUUUAUUGGAGUAAAUAACACUUCCUCCCACCGCGUGGAUAUAGCGUGCGCAUGUUUCUAGAUCGGCAAUGUGACUAGCCUAAUAUUUAUUAGGUACGACGGAAAUUAUAUCUUUAGAAUUUUUCAUCCAUAGAUGAAUUGAUUCAUAUGAUUUUUGGCAACGUAUAACACAUAUUUGGUUAUUCAAAUUAACAACCUAGAAGCGCAUGCAUGCCCACCCAGACGCAGGCAGUAAAAUGUCCUGCUAACGAGAAAACCUUUUACUGGUUUGAGAUGUGAGGAAACUGUUUUUCACUGCAUUAUGCGUGUUUCUACUAGUACACUGCAUGCGUCCUAGAGGGUGUUUACCAGUUACUAAGAAACUGCUCCAAUAAUAAUAAUAAUGAAUGUAGAUAAAAAUGUUAUCCCCCCUCCCCCGGCGGGCAAAUUUCAAACUAAUCGCCCUUAAUCUGAACUAGCCCCUUGCUAAAUUCGUCCGUAGGUGUAGCAUACCCCUUUCUUGUUGCUAAAAGCUCUUGUAUGGCCGACAUCUUGUAUCUUCCAGAGAUGUCCAAAUCUACUUGGAGUGACCAACCUCAUGCAACUUCAAUCCAAAAAUAAUAGACCAACCACUUAGAGCUUCCAAACAAAUUUCCUUCGAAGAUAUGCCUAAAUCUACUUGGAGUGACCAAUCUCUUGUAGCUCCAAUAUUAAUAGACCAACCUCUUGUAGCUUCAAAUCAUAGUUUGCAUCUUCGAGAUAUGCCCAAAUAUACUUGGAGUGAUCAAUCUCUUAUAGCUCCAAUAUUAAUAGACCAACCUCUUCUAGCUUCAAGGCAUAGUUUGCAUCUUCGAGAUAUGCCCAAAUAUACUUGGAGUGAUCAAUCUCUUGUAGCUCCAAUAUUUAUUGACCAACCUCUUCUAGCUUCAAGGCAUAGUUUGCAUCUUCGAGAUAUGCCCAAAUAUACUUGGAGUGAUCAAUCUCUUGUAGCUCCAAUAUUAAUUGACCAACCUCUUGUAGCUUCAAGACAUAUUUUGCAUCUUUGAGAUAUGCCCAAAUAUACUUGGAGUGAUCAAUCUCUUCUAGCUUCAAAAUUAAUAGACCAACAUCUUGUAAAAUAGAUUUUGCGUCUCUGAGAUAUGCCCAAAUCUUCAUGGAGUGAUCAACCUCUCCUAGUAUAGCAAUUAAUAGACCAUACUUUUGUAGCUUCCAAAUAGAUAUUACAUCUCUCAGAUAGGCUAAAUCUACUUGGGGGAGAUAAACCUCUUGUAGCUUCAAAAUUUGAUAGACCUGACGUCAUGUAUCUUUCGAAAAGAUUUUCCAUCUCUGAGAUAUGCCCAAAUCUACUUGGAGUGAUGAACCUCUUGUAGCUUCAAAAAUAAUAAACCAACCUUUGGUAGCUUCAAAACAGGUUUUGCAUCUAUGGGAUAUGCACAAAUCUACUCGGAGUGAUCAACCUCUUGCAGCUAUGGAGUUAAUAGACCAAUCUCUUGUAGCCUAAGAAUUAAUGGACCAACCUCUUGUAGUCUUAGAAUUAAUAUACCAAUCUCUCGCAGCCUCAAAAUUAAAAUACCAACCUCUUGUAGUCUCAAAAUUAAUAGACCAAUCUCUUGUAGCUUCAAAAUAGAUUUUGCAUCUAUGAUAUAUGCCUAAAUCUACUUGGAGUGAUCAACCUGUUGCAGCUUCAAAAUUAAUAGACUAAGCUGCUGUGCCCUCAAAAUUAAUGGACCAACCUCUUGUAGCCUCAAAAUUAGUAGACCAACCUUUUGAUGCCUCAAAACUACAAUUUGUUUUAGCCUCAAAAUUAAUAGAUAAAUCUCUUGUAGCUUCAAAAUUAAUAGUCCAACAUCUUGUAGUUUCAAAAUAGACCGAAACUAUUAAUUUAUGAAAUCUUAAUGAACAACAUCUUGUGGUUUCAAAUAUUGAUGUAUCAAAUCUACUUGGUAUGACAAAUUCCACUUGAAAUAACCAAACUCUUGUACCUCCAAGAAAUGCCAAAUCUGCUUGGUAUGGACAACAUUUUGUAGCUUCAAAAUGUUGGGGAACGCAGUAUUUCAAAACUUUUACCUACGGUCACGCAAGAUAUAUCUAGGAGAUGCAUAGCAACGAGAGGGGAGAGUGUGUCCACGCACCCUCGUAGACUGAAAAUGGAAGCGUUUAGUAACACGGUUGAUGUAGUCGAACGUCUUCGUGAUCCAACCGAUCCAAGCACCGAAUGUACGGCACCUCUGCGUAUAGCACACGUUUAGCUCGAUGACGUCCCUCGAUCUCUUGAUCCAGUUGAGGACGAGGGAGAGUUCCAUCAACACGACGGUGUGACGAUGGUGAUGAAGAAGUACCGGAGCAGGGCUUCGCCUAAGCACUACGACGAUAUGACCGAGAUGUGUAACUGUGGAGGGGGCACCGCACACGGCUAAGAGAAGACUUGGUGUGCCUUUGGGGUGCCCCCCUCCCACGUAUAUAAAGGGGGGAAGGAGAGGUGGCCGGCCCAAAGGGGGGUGUCAGUGUCAAAACCGGCGGAUCUCGGGUAGGGGGUCCCGAACUGUGCGUCUGAGGUUGAUGGUAACAGGAGACAGGGGACACGAUGUUUACCCAGGUUUGGGCCCUCUCUAUGGAGGUAAUACCCUGCUUCCUGCUUGAUUGAUCUUGAUGAAUAUGAGUAUUAUAAGAGUUGAUCUACCUCAAGAUCGUAAUGGCUAAACCCCUAGAAGUCUAGCCUAUAUGAUUAUGAUUGUCUCUACGGACUAACGCCUCCGGUUUAUAUAGAUACCGGAGGGGACUAGGGUUACACGAAGUCGGUUAUAGAGAAAGGAAUCUUCAUAUCCGAACACCAAACUUGCCAUCCACGCCAAGGAGAGUCCCAUCCGGACACAUGUAGAGUCUUUGGUCUUGUAUCUUCAUAGCCCAUCAGUCCGGCCCAUGUCCAACAGGCCGGACGCCCGAGGACCCCUUAGUCCAGGACUUCCUCAGUAGCCCUUGAACCAGGCUUCAAUGACGAGGUCUCCGACGUGCAGAUUGUCUUCGGCAUUGCAUGGCGGGUUCCUCCUCCGAAUACUCCAACACAUUUUCGAACACAAUGAACGUGUCCGGAUCUGCAAAACAAGUACGACACACCGCCACAGAGAGUAUAAUAUUUCACGAGUCCAAUCUGCUGACAACUUUUUUGUAACGUGACGUCAUGCCCCUGCCCAGUUAUUAUUUUGAUCCAUUUUUAGCCUAUCGCUCCAUGUUUCGAGACGUGGUUUUAUUGGCAUGUCUCGUCAAAGCAGAGAUCGUGUCCCCCUAUUGCGGGAUUCUCAUCAAUACGGGCGUGGGUAUCCCAACCGUUCAGUUGGCAUGAUUCCUUAGGAAUAGGCAGUUUUUAAGGCCUAGGAGGAGGUGUUCGAUAUUCACCGCCUUUAUAAAGGGGCUAUGACUCGGUUUUCUUCUUUACGCCAGUCCUUUCCCCAACAUCUCCAGCCUCGAGUUCUAGCACCCAAGGUUCAAUCAAAUUGCCUCGAGCUUCCCAGUCAUGUCCGGUCCUAGCCCUCAAGGCCGGUGGGUGGCUUCCUCUGUCACAAAGGAGGAUAUUGCAAAGCUCCAGGCGGAAAGGUACCUGACCGUGGAAAUCCCCCACAGGCUUCCUGCUCAAGGGCAGGUUAUUCCCACUCCCAGAUCCGGUGAGAGGGUUGUAUUCAUCUCCCACUUCCUCCGGGGGCUAGGGUUCACUCUUCACCCCUUUGUUCGAGGGCUCAUGUUCUAUUACGUGCUAGAUUUUUACGAUCUAGCCCCGGACUCUUUUCUUCUCACCUCGGUGUUCAUCGUCAUGUGUGAGGCCUUUCUCCGCAUUCCUCACACUUCGGCUUAUGGCGCAAGACCUUUAAUGUGAAGCCAAAGGUGAUCGAGGGGAAGCAAGAGGAGUGCGGUGGCACCACGGUGAGCAAGCUCUCUAACGCUCUUUGUCUAAAGGGAUCCUUCAUAGAAUCUCCCAACUUAUGGCAGCGGGAGUGGUUUUAUAUCACUGAACCCCAUGGUACCAAGUGGGCAGCUACACCUGCGUUCCGAUCCGGCCCUCCAAUUCAACUUGCAUCAUGGAUCAACAAGGGGCUGGACUGGGGAUCAAUCGGCGAAGUGCAGACUCUACAGAGCCGCAUGCGGAGUCUUCUUGAGAAGGACACCGGUCUCAUCAACGUGAUUCAAGUAAUGUUAGUCCGUCGGGUCCUCCCGUGCCAGCAACGGCCCUCCGUAUGUGGGAGUUUAAUCCGGAAGGACCACAAACCCUUCAACACUUCUUCGGCACGUCGCACAGAGGAAUGUGGAAGUUAUUUUUUGGGGCACAAAAACAGUGGCCGGACACUACCGAGGACAUCGGCCUUGACUACAACCAUCCGGACACCUCGGUAAGCACUUGACUCCCGAACACAACUUAAUUAAAUAUCCCAUGAUAAGGUACCGAGAAAACCAUCUUUUUCUAGGGCUGGACGAAGAAGGCGGAGCGAAUUAGGUGUUCAGCCCCUCUUCCCGAAGACUUAGCUAGUCCUGUACUAACAAGGAUGCUGGUCCCAGCACCAUUCCAGGUGUCGGUGAAAGAGGACAAUGAGGAGAGCAGGAAGACCAAAGGUGGCCUCCAUUCCGUGGGUACACCAAACACCGUGUCCUGGGAGAUUAAGGUUCCCUCUUCCGAAGAUAAAAGAGAAGGAGAAGCUGACAUCCUUUCUCCCCAUGGUAAGAAAAGGGCUGCCUCCGAAGGUUGGGAGGUGAAGGCUCCUAAGCAAGGUAAGACGCUCCUAUCAGGUGAUUCGGGCUCGGAAGACGACGUUGUCACACAGUCCCUCCGUAAGAACGGGCCUUUAGCCAAAUCGUAAGUGAACAAGGGUGUUUUAAACAUAUCCCAUUCCUUUUCCUGUCACAAGGGUAAUAUUUAGAAUACAUGUUUUGUAGUCCGGUACGUAGUCUUCCUCAACAAUCCUCUUCGGGGGAUCUUCUUCCGGAGAUGAUGGAAAACGAGACGCCUCCGCAGGAUUUCUCGCCCAAUAGGGCGGACGACUUCGAGGUGUCAUCCCGGAGGAUCUCUCCCGAUCAACAAAUGGUGCAAAGGAUAAUGAAGACAACGCCCCAAGGUGAAACAUCGGUCACCCAGGGUUCGAGGUAUGCGGUCCCUACGGAGACCAAUAGCAAAGGCCCUAGACUCUCUAGUUUACAGCCGGAGACAACUCUAGGGUUGGGCAAACAUAUCCCUUCAAAGGGAGUCCGUACCCCCACAGCUGUUGCCCGGGAUCCGGAGGCGCCGAAUACACUAAUGGACAUGUUACGAUAUUCGUCCGUCUCAGAGAAACAUCAUACCUUGAUGGGUACGGUGGUUGAGAGGAUUAUGUCCGCGAAAAGUGGAUUGAAUGAAGCUUUCACGAGCCUGCUAAGAGGCUUCGAGGUACGUAAUGUAAUAUUUUCGAUUGUGCUCUAUACAUAAAAUUCACCUGUGUAUAGAUAGUAGCCCCUGAGACUCUGGUUGGCGUCCCAAGGGAGGCAAUCAGAGGAUCGAAAAAGAUAUGCUCAGGAAAUAAUCUAAUUAAUUGGAACACAUGCUGUUACAUCCACGAUGACUGUCGACGCUACAGAGGUUGCAGGUCUGGAGCAGAAACUUGAUGUGGCGAAUGACGACAUCAUGCUUAUUAACAGGCGGCUCGACGAGGCGCAAGGUAUGUUUUGAGGCAGUCAGUGUAUGUAUGUAUAAUAACAUGAGCACGAAGCUAAGAAUUAUAUACUGAGACAUGCAUAACUGCAGAUAGUGUUGCCGCGGUGGAGGCCCUUCAGGCUGAACUUGCCCGAGCCAAGGAGCAAGCCUGGAUGAGUAAUGUGGCGCCAAGAAGGCAGCUGAUGAGCUACAAGCCGAACAGGCUGCUCGACGCCAGUGCGAGGAGAGAAUGUCUACCAUGGCUCGCGAGCUGAAGGAAGCCACUGUCCGGUGCGAGUUCCUCGAGAGGGAUAACAAAGCCAAAAUGGCCGAUCUCAACAAUGCCUUGCAAGAGGCGAGGGAAGCACGAUCCGAGUCUAGGGCGGCUCGGGAGGAGAUCCGGCAAGCUGGGGAGAUAGCGGACAGUAAGCCCUUCUUAUUAUAGACUAAAUUCGGCGAUCCGAAACAUGCCCCGCUUAAUCAAAUGUGGAGCUCUCCAGACGCAUUCUUGGACUUGCCGAAGAGUGCCUCCGGUGCCGCGCAAUUUUACCAAGCGCAAGAAGGGUAUGCAACAGAGAAGCUUUUCUGGACACAAUUCGGCACGCCAAAGCACCCGCUGUUGCUGAACGAACAAAUGGCCUAGUGGGCCGAGCUUCACAAGAUAUCCAGUUUCGCCAUGAAGGACAUCAUGGUCCGACUGUGGCCGACUGAGCCAAUUCCGAAUAGUUAUUUCGGUUUGGUGCAGCGACUUAUGGAUGUGGUGCCGCAUAUCAACGUCGUGAAGCGAUCAUCGUGCAUUGAAGGUGCACGGAUGGCCUUUGCCCAUGUCAAGACGUAUUGGACGAAGAUGAAGGUCACCAAUAUUGUAGCGAAGAGUCCACCCGGGGGCAAGGACGAACAGACGCCAGAGCAUUAUUUUGAAGAUGUCCUAGAGGGCGCCGACUUAAUAGAGGUUCAGUGCUCAAAGGAUAUGGUUUUCAAGUGAAUGUGCCGAAAUUGUAAAAACAAUAUUAUGAUGUUAAGGCUAUGCCUAAAAGUUUUGGCUCCUCCUGUGCGGCCGUUUUUGUAUAAUCUGAAAGUUUUCCAGUCGUCGGCUUCAGCCCGCUCGCAUAAAAUACGCGGGUGUUCAGAAAAGCACUUGAUCACUCUUGACCCAACGUCUUGGUCCGUGAAGGAGGUGUCAGUGCGGUGAACUAGGCAAUCAGACUAUAGGGCUUUAACACUUUCACUUAGUCAUAGAAGUUUGAUGGUGGGUCUAUGAUAUAGCCCCUGGUACGUACGCCUCUAUCCGAAUACGACGCAUUAUAUAAGCGACAGGAAGAACGGUCCUUCGUGUAAUACGGGAGGAAUCAUGAAAGAUUUUGAUAAGUCAUCGAGUGGUUGACCAGCUCUCGCUGCAUCAUGACAGUCAGUUUUCGGCUUUCUCUACUGAGGUGCUCAUUCGGAUAAACCAGGACACAAUCGCAAUAGUUCUCCCUUUACUACCCUAGUCGAUAGAGCGGAAUGUAAGGUAGUAAGCAAAGGAGCCGGGCAACCCAACUAUUGACCAAAGACAUGAUUCGGAGCUGAUGCAUAUAAGGCCGAACUCGUGACGCCGAAGUGUGCUGUAAAGCUGUUCAGACUUACCGGUAAUGUAUUUGUUCCCAUAUUGAGCCCCUCGCAGUUUGGGCCGAGGUGCGUGUGUGAAACAACUAAAGAAGCAAAAUUCAGUUCUUUUAGAAAAAGCAAAUAGUGAAUACGAAUUAUGUUCACUAGGACAUGAUUGAUAUGUCAAUUGCCAUUUUACAGAUAAUAACGCCACGACCCAAGCUAUUUGACAUGCCGGUGGUCGAAGGCUGAGGGAGAAGGCACUUUACAUGCUCUAAAUAGAGAGUGCGGUCUACUAAGAAUUAAUUGGACCUCCUGUCGCACGUCUGCGUCGCCUUGCCUCGGUGAAAGGACUCCUUAACAGGAAUAGCCUUUGGAUAUGUGAACGGAGCCGAACCCCGAAAGAGUCCGUAAGAUGACCCGUCUUUGAGCCACCUGUGGUAAAAUAUAAAAAAUAAUUAGAAAAGAAAAGAAAAGGAGGAUAUAGGAGAGCUUGUAGGCCUGUCCAUAUUGUGCCUUUGCCAAUGACCAGGGUAUUCUAAGUAAAUCAUUAUGUACGCACGGUACAAACUUCGCGGGUAUAUGAGGCAAACGGCAGAGACCGAACUGCUAAUCCAGCUCUGAGAUUGAUCGACCCCAUUUAAUAGAGGCCGACAGCUUAAUGGCUGAUGAGAUAUGCGGCUUGAUGAGGCCGCUUGGUACUUCGACUGUGGUAGCCGUAGUAUGACUCUCCGUACCGAGGGAGUGUUCCGUAUUUCCAUUUAUUGUUAUGACACCGCGUGGACCGGGCAUCUUAAGUUUUGCGUGGGCGUAGAACGGGACCGCAUUAAAACGAGCAAAAGCGGUACGCCCCAAAGUGCAUGGUAGCUACUGCGGAACAGGACAAUAUCAAAGGUUUAGCCUUCGCAUCGGAAGUUAUUCAGUGAACCAAAAACGACUCCCAGUGUGACGGAGCCCCUAGAGUGAGCUUCUACGUUGAAUACUGCUCCCUUGAGGGUAGCUGUGGCGGGCUUGGUUCUUGAAGGAUCGAUGCCCAUUUUGCGGACAGUGUCUUGGUAGAGUAGAUUAAGGCCACCGUCGCCAUCCAUAAGGACUUUCGUGAGAUGGAACCCAUCGAUAAUUGGAACAAUGAUCAGAGCCACUGAACCUUCAGGAUGGAUAUGGCGAAAUUUUGGGGAAAACGGCUGUAUGGCGUAUGCGUCCCGUAGUGUGCGCCUGCACUCCCCUGUAGGGGUGUGCGUCACGUAUACCAUGUUCAUGGUUUUUACUUCGGGGGGAAAUUGUUUCCGACCCCCGGUAUUCAGCUAGUGAGUUUCUUCAUCAUCGUUGUCACUGGGCGGCCCCUUCCCCUUGCGUUCGACAUUAAGCUUGCCGGCUUGUUUGAAGACCCAACAUCUUCUGUUGGUGUGAGUAGCUGGUUUAUCGGGGGUGCCAUGAAUCUGGUAGGGUCAAUCUAGUAUUUUGUCUAAAUUGGAUGAUCCGUCUCUAUGUGCCUUGAAUGGCUUUUUCCGUUGACCGGGUUUGGAGCCGCUGAAUCCGGCGUUGACCGUCGUGUCUUGCGUUCUUUCGUUAUGAUUGCGACGUUUGUGUUUAUUGCGCCGUGGCUUGCGUUGCCGUCUCGGACUUCGGAAGUGCCUAGAUCGCUGGUGUUGUUGCUUCUACGAGCGAGCCAGCUGUCUUCUCCCAUGCAAAAGCGGGUCAUUAGAGCGGUAAGGGCUGCCAUGGACUUUGGCUUUUCUUGACCGAGGUGGCGGGCGAGCCACUCAUCCCGGACACUGUGUUUGAAGGCCGCGAGGGCUUCGGCAUCCGGACAAUCGAUAAUUUGGUUCUUUUUAAUUAGGAAUCUAGUCCAGAGCUUCCCGGCUAACUCUUCGGGCUGCUGGAUGAUGUGACUUAAGUCAUCGACAUCUGGUGGCCGGACAUAUGUACCUUGGAAGUUAUCGCGAAAGGCGUCUUCCAGGUCUUCCCAGCUGCCAACAGAGUUCUCUGGAAGGCUGUUGAGCCAGUGUCGCGCUGGUCCCUUUAGUUUUAAUGGGAGGUAUUUGAUGGCGUGGAGAUCAUCACCGUGGGCCAUGUGGAUAUGAAGGAGAAAAUCUUCAAUCCAUACCGCGGGAUCUAUUGUUCGAUCGUAUGAUUCGAUAUUCAUGGGUUUAAACCCUUCUGGGAAUUCGUGCCCCAUUACUUCAUCAGUGAAGCAAAGCGGGUGUGCGGCGCCUCUAUAUCAGGCCAUAUCGCGACGUAGCUCGGAUGGAGUCCGUCUGUGGCAUUUGGCCCGGGCGUGAUUAAGUUUGUCAUGUCCGAACAGAUGGCCGUCGUCGCGUGUCGGGGCACGCCCCCGUGAUCCGUAGAUCGAUCUAGUGUGUCUUUGUUUGCUGUCCAGGUCCUACCGAAGUUCAUAUGUAUAUGCCCGAGCUGUUUUAUCCUGACCUUUACGGUGAGGUAGUGCGGGCUGGUGUUCAGCUUGAGUUGCCGCUUUGUCCCGACCACAUGGUGGUAGGUCAGCCGCAUUGUGCGCUGAUGGCACGGGCUCCAACACCUCGUCAUCGAAUUGAGGUAGUAAUUUGCGCUUCGGGUAACUUUUGGGUGGUCGCUCGAGGCCGUAUUUCUCGGUUGCCAGGACGUUAGUCCAUCUAUCAUUGAGCAGAUCUUGAUCAGCUUGAAGUUGUUGCCGCUUCUUUUUCAGGCUUCUUGUAGUGGCUAUUACCCGACGCUUAAAGUGCUCCUGCUCGAGAGGUUCCUCUGGCACGAUAAAAUCCUCGUCGCCGAGGCUCACCUCAUCCUCGGAGAGUGGGAGAUAAUUACUGUCCUCCGAGUCUUCAUGCACGACCUGUUCAUCAGGGCUGACCCACCCAUCUCCCCGUUCAUCCGGUUCGGAAGUUGGCUCAAUGAGGUCUUCAUUGUCUCUGGCUUUGUCUAGAGUAUUGUUUUCUCCUGUGCCGGUAUUGCUGUCUUUUUCACGGUGUGACUUAGAGUGGCGCCGCUGUCGUCGGUGCUUUGGCUGUAUCUCAGGGGUUUUAUGUUCCACUGGGUCUUCUUUGUCAUCGCCGUUAACUUCUUUGGGUGUGUCCACCAUGUAUACGUCAUAAGAGGAGGUGGCCGUCCAGCGCCCGGUAAAUGGUGGGCUUUGGGUCUGCUCCUCUUCGGCAUCGUCGUCCAUACCGUCGAUGUCUUCGGAGUUGUAGUCGAGCAUGUCGGUUAGAUCUUCGACAGUGGCUAUUAAGUGGGGGGUGGGAAACGAAAUUCCCCAUCAUCAGCCCCGAGUUCAAACCAGAUAUAGUUCGGUCGUGAGUCCCUUGCUAAAGAGAGGGUUUUUAAUGAGUUUAGCACGUCGUCUAAAGGUGAGUGCCGAAAGAUGUCCGCAAAACUGAAUUCGAUGAUCGACGCCUGGUAAGGCUCGGCGGACGCGGGUGCACAUAGUUCGGACCCGGUGGCUGGAGAUGAAUCCGGGGGUCCGGUGAUGCAGACCCCGCUCGAGGUUGGAUCUGUGUGCGGCUCCAACGCCGCUGAGUCUGCGGCUUCCGUGGCGGGGUUAAGCUUCCCGUCUUCGGAUAGCGCAAGCUGCUCCAGAUCUAGGGCUAGAGCGCUUACAGGCGCGAUCUCCUAGGUAUGGUCCAAUGAUUGAUUUAGGUCAUGUUCAUCACGGUGGUAGGGAGCGGCUGCCAUGGGCGCAAAUCCAUCGAAGAUCAAGUCUCCGCGGAUAUCAGCGAUGUAGUUCAAGCUUCCAAACCUGACCUGACGGCCAGGGGCAUAGCUGUCGAUCUGCUCUAGAUGGCCAAGCAAGUUGCCCGUAGUGUGAAGCCGCCGAAUACAAAGAUCUGGCCAGGGAGAAAGACAUCUCCCUGGGCAGCGUUGUUGAUGAUGGAUGGAGCCAUCGAACCUUCUGAUGGCGGCACAGUGGAACUCUCAAUGAAAGCACUAAUGUCGGUGUCAAAACCAGUGGAUCUCGGGUAGGGGGUCCCAAACUGUGCGUCUGAGGUUGAUGGUAACAUGAGAUAGGGGACACGAUGUUUACCCAGGUUCGGGCCCUCUCUAUGGAGGUAAUACCCUACUUCCUGCUUGAUUGAUCUUGACGAAUAUGAGUAUUACAAGAGUUGAUCUACCUCGAGAUCGUAAUGGCUAAAACCCUAGAAGUCUAGCCUAUAUGAUUAUGAUUGUCUCUACGAACUAACCCCUCCGGUUUAUAUAGACACCAGAGGGGACUAGGGUUACACAAAGUCGGUUACAGCGAAAGGAAUCUUCAUAUCCGAACACCAAACUUGCCAUCCACACCAAGGAGAGUCCCAUCCAGACACGGGUAGAGUCUUUGGUCUUGUAUCUUCAUAGCCCAUCAGUCCAGCCCGUGUCCAACAGGCCGGACGCCCGAGGACCCCUUAGUCCAGGACUCCCUCAGGGGGCGCGCCAGGUGUGGGGAGUCCUACUAGGACUCCCUAGACCAAGUAGGAUUCCCAUUUCCUUUUUUCCUUUUUCGGAAUAGCAAAGAGGGAAAGAGAGGAGGAGUAGGAGAGGGAAAGGGGGGGGGCACCGCCCCCACCCCUUGUCCAAUUCGGAUUGGCAAGGGGGGGGGUGCGUGCCACCUCCCUGGCCGGCCCUCUCUCCUUCAGUAAGGCCCAUGUGUGGCCCAUUAACUUCCGGUGGGGAGGGGGUUCCGGUAACCCCCAGUACUCCGAAACUUAUCCGAUACUUCCCGAAACCAUUCCGGUGUCCGAAUAUAACCUUCCAAUAUAUGAAUCUUCACCUCUAGACCAUUUCGAGACUCCUCAUCAUGUCCGUGAUCUCAUCCAGGACUCCGUACAAACUUCGGUCAUCAAAUCACAUAACUCAUAAUACAAAUCAUCAUCGAACGUUAAGCGUGCAGACCCUACGAGUUCGAGAACUAUGUAGACAUGACCGAGACACAUCUCCGGUCAAUAACCAAUAGCGGAACCUGGACGCUCAUAUUGACUCUUACAUAUUCUAUGAAGUUCUUUUAUCAGUCAAACCGCAUAACAACAUACGUUGUUCCCUUUGUCAUCGGUAUGUUACUUGCUCAAGAUUCGAUCGUUGGUAUCAUCAUACAUGGUUCAAUCUCGUUACUGACAAGUCUCUUUACUCAUUCUGUAAUGCAUCAUCCCGUGGCUAACUCAUUAGACACAUUGCUUGCAAGGCUCAUAGUGAUGUGCAUUACCAAGAGGGCCCAGAGAUACCUCUCCGAUACACAGAGUGACAAAUCCUAAUCUCGAUCUAUGCCAACUCAACAAACAUCAUUGGAGACACCUGUAGAGCAUCUCUAUAAUCACCCAGUUACGUUGUGACGUUUUAUGGAACACAAGGUGUUCCUCCGGUAUUCGGGAGUUGCAUAAUCUCAUAGUCAGAGGAACAUGUAUAAGUCAUGAAGAAAGCAAUAGCAAUAAAACUAAAUGAUCAUUAUGCUAAGCUACGGAUGGGUCUUGUCCAUCACAUCAUUCUCUAAUGAUGUGACCCCAUUCAUCAAAUGAAAACGCAUGUCUAUGGUCAGGAAACUUAACCAUCUUUGAUUAACGAGCUAGUCUAGUAGAGGCAUACUAGGGACACUCUGUUUGUCUAUGUAUCCACACAUGUACUAAGUUUCCGAUUAAUACAAUUCUAGCAUGAAUAAUAAACAUUUAUCAUGAUAUAAGAAAUUAUAAAUAACAACUUUAUUAUUGCCUCUAGGGCAUAUUUCCUUCAGUCUCCCACUUGCACUAGAGUCAAUAAUCUAGAUUACAUAGUAAUGAUUCUAACACCCAUGGAGUCUUGGUGCUGAUCAUGUUUUGCUCGUGAGAGAGGCUUAGUCAAUGGGUCUGCGACAUUCAGAUCCAUAUGUAUCUUGCAAAUCUCUAUGUCUCCCUCCUUGACUUGAUCGCUGAUGGAAUUGAAGCGUCUCUUGAUGUGUUUGGUGAUCUUGUGAAAUCUGGAUUCCUUCACCAAGACAAUUGCUCCAGUAUUGUCACAAAAGAUUUUCAUUGGACCCGAUGCACUAGGUAUGACACCUAGAUCGGAUAUGAACUCCUUCAUCCAGACUCUUUCAUUUGUUGCUUCCGAAGCAGCUAUGUAUUCCGCUUCACAUGUAGAUCCCGCCACGAUGCUCUGCUUGGAACUGCACCAACUGACAGCUCCACCAUUUAAUAUAAAUACAUAUCCGGUUUGUGACUUAGAGUUAUCCGGAUCUGUGUCAAAGCUUGCAUCAACGUAACCAUUUACGACGAGCUCUUUGUCACCUCCAUAAAUGAGAAACAUAUCCUUAGUACUUUUCAGGUAUUUCAGGAUGUUAUUGACCGCUGUCCAGUGAUCCACUCGUGGAUUACUUUGGUACCUACCUGCUAAACUAAUAGCAAGGCACAUAUCAGGUCUGGUACACAACAUUGCAUACAUGAUAGAACCUAUGGCUGAGGCAUAGGGAAUGACUUUCAUUUUCUCUCUAUCUUCUGCAGUGGCCGGGCAUUGAGUCUGACUCAACUUCACACCUUGUAACACAUGCAAGAACCCUUUCUCUGACUGAUCCAUUUUGAACUUCUUCAAAACUUUAUCAAAGUUGCUUUGUGAAAUUCCAAUUAAGCGUGAUGAUCUAUCUCUAUAGAUCUUGAUGCCCAAUAUAUAAGCAGCUUCACCAAGGUCUUUCAUUGAAAAAUUCUUAUUCAAGUAUCCUUUUAUGCUAUUCAGAAAUAGUAUCAUUUCCGAUCAACAAUAUGUCAUCCACAUAUAAUAUCAGAAAUGCUACAGAGCUCCCACUCACUUUCUUGUAAAUACAGGCUUUUCCAAAAGUCUGUAUAUAACCAUAUGCUUUGAUCACACUAUCAAAGCAUAUAUUCCAACUCCGAGAGGCUGGCACCAGUCCAUAAAUGGAUUGUUGGAGCUUGCACACUUUGUUAGCACCUUUUGGAUCGACAAAACCUUCUGGUUGCAUCAUAUACAACUCUUCUUUAAGAUAUCCAUUAAGGAAUGCAGUUUUGACAUCCAUUUGCCAAAUUUCAUAAUCAUAAAAUGCGGCAAUUGCUAACAUGAUUCGGAUAGACUUAAGCAUCGCUACGGGUGAGAAGGUCUCAUCGUAGUCAACUCCUUGAACUUGUCGAAAACCUUUCGCAACAAGUCAAGCUUUGUAGACAGUAACAUUAUCGUCAGCGUUAGUCUUCUUCUAGAAGAUCCAUUUAUUCUCUAUUGUUUGCCGAUCAUCGGGCAAGUCAACCAAAGUCCACACUUUGUUCUCAUACAUGGAUCCAAUCUCAGAUUUCAUGGCCUCAAGCCAUUUCGCGGAAUCUGGGCUCAUCAUCGCUUCCUCAUAGUUCGUAGGUUCGUCAUGGUCAAGUUACAUGACCUCCAGAACAGGAUUACUGUACCACUCUGGUGCAGAUCUUACUCUGGUUGACCUACGAGGUUCGGUAGUAACUUGAUCAGAAGUUUCAUGAUCAUCAUCAUUAGCUUCCUCACUAACUGGUUUAGGAAUCACUGGAACUGAUUUCUGUGAUGAACUACUUUCCAAUUCGGGAGAAGGUACAAUUACCUCAUCAAGUUCUAAUUUGCUCCCACUCACUUCUUUUGAGAGAAACUCCUUCUCUAGAUGGAUCCAUUCUUAGCAAAGAAUAUCUUGCCUUCGGAUCUGUGAUAGAAGGUGUACCCAACAGUCUCCUUUGGGUAUCCCAUGAAGACAUAUUUCUCCGAUUUGGGUCUGAGCUUAUCAGGUUAAAGAUUUUUCACAUAAGCAUUGCAUCCCCAAACUUUAAGAAACAACAACUUGGGUUUCUUGCCAAACCACAGUUCAUAUGGUGUCGUCUUAACGUAUUUAGAUGGUGCCCUAUUUAACGUGAAUGCAACCGUCUCUAAAGCAUAACCCCAAAACGAUAGCGGUAAAUCAGUAAGAGACAUCAUAGAUCGCACCAUAUAUAAUAAAAGUACGGUUACGAUGUUCGGACACACCGUUACGUUGUGGUGUUCCAGGUGGCGUGAGUUGCGAAACUAUUCCGCAUUGUUUCAAAUGAAGACCAAACUCAUAACUCAAAUAUUCACCUCCACGAUCAGAUCAUAGAAAUUUUAUUUUCUUGUUAUGAUGAUUUUCCACUUCACUCUGAAAUUCUUUGAACUUUUCAAAUGUUUCAGACUUAUGUUUCAUCAAGUAGAUAUAUCCAUAUAUGCUCAAAUCACCCGUGAAGGUCAGAAAAUAACGAUACCAGCAGCAAGCCUCAACAGUCAUUGGACCGCAUGCAUCAGUCUGUAUUAUUUCCAACAAGUCUGUUGCUCGCUGCAUUGUUCCGGAGAAUGGAGUCUUAGUCAUCUUGCCCAUGAGUCAUGGUUCGCAAGCAUCAAGUGAUUCAUAAUCAAGUGAUUCCAAAAGUCCAUCAGCAUGGAGUUUCUUCAUGCGCUUUACACUAAUAUGACUGAUACGUCUCCAAUGUAUCUGUAAUUUUUUUAUUGUUCCAUGCUAUUAUAUUAUCUGUUUUGGAUGUUUAAUGGGCUUUAUUAUGCAUUUCUAUAUUAUUUUUGGGACUAACCUAUUAACCAAAAGCCCAGUGCAAAUUGCUGUUUUUUGCCUAUUUCAGUGUUUCACAAAAAAGGAAUAUCAAACGGAAUGAAACCUUCUCGAGGAUCUUUUUGGAACAAACGCAAUCCAGGAGACUUGGAGUGGAGGUCAAGGAAGCAGCGAGGCGGCCACGAGGUAGGGUGGCGCGCCCCCCACCCUCAUGGGCCCCUCGCAGCUCCAUCGACCUACUUCUUUUGCCUAUAUAUACUCUUAUACCCUGAAAACAUCAAGGGGAGCCACGAAACCACUUUUCCACCACCGCAACCUUUUGUACCCGUGAGAUCCCAUCUGGGGACCUUUUCUGGCAAGCUUCUACAUCAACACCAUAGCCUCUCCGAUGAUGUGUGAGUAGUUUACCAUAGACCUUCGGGUCCAUAGUUAUUAGCUAGAUGGCUUCUUCUCUCUCUUUGGAUCUCAAUACAAAGUUCUCCUCGAUGUUCUUGGAGAUCUAUUCGAUGUAAUUCUUUUUGCGGUAUGUUUGCCGAGAUCCGCUGAAUUGUGGGUUUGUGAUUAAGAUUAUCUAUGAAAAAUAUUUGAUUCUUCUCUGAAUUCUUAUAUGCAUGAUUUGAUAUAUUUGCAAGUCUCUUCGAAUUAUCAGUUUGGUUUGGCCUACUAGAUUGAUCUUUCUUGCAAUGGAGAAGUGCUUAGCUUUGGGUUCAAUCUUGCGGUGUCCUUUCCCAGUGACACCAUGGGCAGCAAGGCACGUAUUGUAUUGUUGCCAUCGAGGAUAAAAAGAUGGGGAUUAUAUCAUAUUGCUUGAGUUUAUCCCUCUACAUCAUGUCAUCUUGCCUAAUGCGUUACUCUGUUCUUAUGAACUUAAUACUCUAGAUGCAUGCUGGAUAGCGGUCGAUGUGUGGAGUAAUAGUAGUAGAUGCAGAAUCAUUUCGGUCUACUUGACACGGACGUGAUGCCUAUGUUCAUGAUCAUGCCUAGAUAUCAUCAUAAUUAUGCGCUUUUCUAUCAAUUGCUCGACAGUAAUUUGUUCAGCCACCGUAAUUUAUGCUAUCUUGAGAGAAGCCACUAGUGAAACCUAUGGACCUCGGGUCUACUUUACAUCAUAUUAUUUUCCAGUCAACUAGCUAUUUCUGUCUCCGUUUAUUUUGCAAUCUUUACUUUUCAAUCUAUACAACAAAAAUACCAAAAAUAUUUAUCUUAUUAUCUCCAUCAGAUCUCACUUUCGUAAGUGACCGUGAAGGGAUUGACAACCCCUUUAUCGCGUUGGUUGCAAGGUUCUUCUUUGUUUGUGCAGGUACUAGGCGACUUGCGUGUAGUCUCCUACUGGAUUGAUACCUUGGUUCUCAAAAACCAAGGGAAAUACUUACGCUACUUUGCUGCAUCACCCUUUCCUCUUCAAGGGAAAACCAAUGCAUGCUCAAGACGUAGCAAGAAGGAUUUCUGGCACCGUUGCCGGGGAGAUCUACGCCAAGUCAAUACAUACCAAGUACCCAUCACAAACUCUUAUCCCUCGCAUUACAUUAUUUGCCAUUUGCCUCUCGUUUUCCUCUCCCCCACUUCACCCUUCCCGUUUUAUUCGCCUCUUUUUCGUUCGCCCUUUUUCCGUUCGUCUCUUUUCGAUUGCCUCUCGUGUGUCCGUGUGUUAGAUCGUUUGUUUCGUCUUCAUGGCAAGCCCUUCUUCUCUUCCUUUGUCUCCCGAUUUUGAAGUUCUUCACUUCAAACAAAGACAAGGAGAAAACUUAAAAGAUGCUUGGUACAGGAUGAUAGAAUCCUAUCGUAAUUGCACUAUAGGGGGGAUUUCAAGAGUUUACUUUGCAAUUUUUAUGUUGGGCUAACCAUGUCCCAUAGACAACUCUUGGACUUUUCCGGUAAAGGGAGUUUUUAUUAACGUCGAUCCCAAUAUUGCGUAUGAGAUUAUAGAGGGAAUAGUAGGAAUACUACCCCCACAAGAGGGACUCCAUAAUACUCAAGAGGGAACCCAAGUUUUUUAGAAAAUAUGCGAAGUAACUAAAAUUUUGCGAAAAUCUCUCAAACCCCUUAAAAAUGUUAGUGGGAACCUUCACUGCAUGAAUAUGUUGAUCACUCUUUGUAAUAAGCGGUUGGAUGCUCUAGAUCUAAAGAUCUCCGAGUAUGAAGGGAAACGUAAGGAAGCUCCCGGAUCCGAGAAAAACCCUAAUAAAAAGACCAAAGAUGAUAAUACCUAGAUCUAUUCUUGCUUUUAUGCCUAGCUAGGGGCGUUAAACGAUAGCGCUUGUUGGGAGGCAACCCAAUUUUAUUUUUGUUCCUGUUUAGUAAUAAAUAAAUCAUCUAUCUUCUGUUAUGAUUGUGUUUUUUAUGUUUUAAUUAGUGUUUGUGCCAAGUAAAGCCUUUAGGAUCUUCUUGGAUGGUUGUUAUUUGAUCUUGCUGAAAAAACAGAAAGUAUGCGCUCACGAGAAUAAUUUUCUUUUUUUUACCAGAGAGCAAUAAAAUACUGAUUCCAACUGCAGUAGAUCAAUAUACAAAUUAUUUAGGACGUCCUAAUUUCUCAGGAUCUUUGGAGUUACAUAAGUAUUCGAAACCUACAUGUUACUACAGACUGUUCUGUUUUUGACAUAUUCUGUUUUUCGUGUGUUGUUUGCUUAUUUUGAUGAAUCUAUGGCUAGUAUCGGGGGGUAUGAACCAUAGAGAAGUUGGAAUACAGUAGGUUUAACAUCAAUAUAAAUAAAGAAUGAGUUUAUUACAGUAUUUUAAGGUGGUGGUUUUUUUUCUUAUACUAACGGAGCUCAUGAGAUUUUCUGUUGAGUUUUGUUUUGUGAAGUUUUCAAGUUUUUGGGUAAAGAUUUGAUGGAUUUCGGAACAAGGAGUGGCAAGAGCCUAAGCUUGGGGAUGCCCAAGGCACCCCAAGGUAAAAUUCAAGGACAACCAAAAUCCUAAGCUUGGUGAUGCCCCGGAAGGCACCCCCUCUUUCGUCUUCAUCUAUCGGUAACUUUACUUGAGGCUAUAUUUUUAUUCACCACAUGAUAUGUGUUUUGCUUGGAGAGUCUUGUAUGAUUUGAGUCUUUGCUUUUAUUUUACCACAAUAAUCCUUGCUGUACACACCUUUUGGGAGAGACACACAUGAAUCAGAAUUUAUUAGAAUACUCUAUGUGCUUCACUUAUAUCUUUUGAGCUAGAUAAUUUUGCUCUAGUGCUUCACUUAUAUCUUUUUAGAGCACGAUGGUGGUUUUAUUUUAUAGAAAUUAUUGAUCUCUCAUGCUUCACUUAUAUUAUUUUGAGAGUCUUUUAGAACAGAAUGGUAAUUUGCUUUGGUUAUGAAAUUAGUCCUAAUAUAAUAGGCAUCCAAGAUGGGUAUAAUAAAAAAUUCAUAUGGAGUGCAUUAAAUGUUAUGAGAAGCUUGAUACUUGAUAGUUGUUUUGAGAUAUAAAGAUGAUAAUAUUAUAGUUGUGCUAGUUGAGUAAUUACGGAAUUGAGAAAUACUUGUGUUGAAGUUGGCAAGUCCCGUAGCAUGCACGUAUGGUAAAUGUUGUGUGACAAAUUUGAAGCAUGAGGUGUUCUUUGAUUGCUUUCCUUAUGAGUGGUGGUCGGGGAUGAGCGAUGGUCUUUUCCUACCAAUCUAUCCCCCUAGGAGCAUGUGUGUAGUGCUUGGUUUUGAUGACUUGUAGAUUUUUUCAAUAAGUAUGUGAGUUAUUUAUGACUAAUGUUGAGUCCAUGGAUUAUACGCACUCUCACCCUUCCAUCCUUGCUAGCCUCUUCGGUACCGUGCAUUGCCCUUUCUCACAUUGAGAGUUGGCGCAAACUUCGCCGGUGCAUCCAAACCCCGUGAUAUGAUACGCUCUUUCACACAUAAACCUCCUUAUAUCUUCCUCAAAACAACCACCAUACCUACCUAUAAUGGCAUUUCCAUAGCCAUUCCGAGAUAUAUUGCCAUGCAAAUUUCCACCGUUCCGUUUAUUAUGAAACGCUCCAUCAUUGUCAUAUUGCCUUGCAUGAUCAUGUAGUUGACAUUGUAUCUAUGGAAAAUCCACCUUCAUAAUUCUUUCAUACAUGUCACUCUUGAUUCAUUGCAUAUCUCGGUACACCACCAGAGGCAUUCACAUAGAGUCAUAUUUUGUUCUAAGUAUCGAGUUGUAAUUCUUGAGUUGUAAGUAAAUAAAUGUGAUGAUUUUCAUCAUUAGAGAAUUGUCCCAUGUGAGGAAAGUUCUUCGAAAAAAAGAGAAAGUCCAUAAAAAAAGAGAGAAAAAAUGAGAGAAAAAGAGAGAAGGGGCAAUGUUACUAUCCUUUUUCCACACUUGUGCUUCAAAGUAGCACCAUGAUCUUCAUGAUAGAGAGUCUCCUAUUUUUUCACUUUCAUAUACUAGUGGGAAUUUUUCAUUAUAGAACUUGGCUUUUAUAUUCCAAUAAUAGGCUUCCUCAAAAUGCCCUAGGUCUUCGUGAGCAAGCAAGUUGGAUGCACACCCACUUAAUUUCUUUUGUUGAGCUUUCAUACAUUUAUAGCUCUAGUGCAUCCGUUGCAUGGCAAUCCCUACUCCUUGCAUUGACAUCAAUUGAUGGGCAUCUCCAUAGCCUGUUGAUUAGCCGCGUCAAUGUGAGACUUUCUCCCUUUUUUGUCUUCUCACACAACCUCCAUCAUCAUAUUCUAUUCCACCCAUAGUGCUAUAUCCAUGGCUCGCGCUCGUAUAUUGCGUGAAAGUUGAAAGAGUUUGAAAAGGCUAAAGUAUGAAACAAUUGUUUGGCUUGUCAUCGGGGUUGUGCAUGAUGGGAGCAUUUUGUGUGACGAAAAUGAAGCAUGGCCAAACUAUAUGAUUUUGUAGGGAUAAGCUUUCUUUGACUAUGUUAUUUUGAUAAGACAUAAUUGCUUAGUUAGCAUGCUUGAAGUAUUAUUAUUUUUAUGUCAAUAUUAAACUUCUGUCUAGAAUCUUUUGGAUCUAAACAUUCAUUCCGCAAUAAAGAGAAUACAUUGAAAAUUAUGUUAGGUAGCAUUCCACAUCAAAAAUUCGGUUUUUAUCAUUUACCUACUCGAGGACGAGCAUGAAUUAAGCUUGGGGAUGCUUGAUACAUCUCCAACGUAUCUAUAAUUUUUUAUUGUUCCAUGCUAUUAUAUUAUCUAUUUUGGAUGUUUAAUGGGAUUUAUUAUGCAUUUUUAUAUUAUUUUUGGGACUAACCUAUUAACCGAAGGCCCAGUGCAAAUUGCUGUUUUUUUGCCUAUUUCAGUGUUUUCCAGAAAAGGAAUAUCAAAUGGAAUCCAAACGGAAUGAAACCUUUACGAGGAUAUUUUUUGGAACAAACGCAAUCCAACAGACUUGGAGUGGAGGUGAAGGAAGUAGCGAGGCGGCCACGAGGUAGGGUGGCGCGCCCCCCACCGUCGUAGGCCCCUCGCAGCUCCACCGACCUACUUCUUUCACCUAUAUAUACUCUUAUACCCUGAAAACAUCGAGGGGAGCCACGAAACCACUUUUCCACCGCCGCAACCUUCUAUACCCGUGAGAUCCCAUCUGGGGACCUUUUCUGGUGAUCUGCCGGAGGAGGAUUCACUACAAAAAAAUACACUUCCGUGAUGAUACGUGUUUGUCAUAGUAGGUCACUUUUUUUGUCAUGCAUGUACAUCCAUGACAAAUUUAUGACAUAAUCAAGAUAGUCAUACCUGUGCUGGCGUAGAAGUGUUCCAUGACAUUACCAAAAUUAUCAUCACGGAAGUGUCCACUUCCAUGACGAUAAAUCACGCGUCACAGAAGUGCUUUCGUCAAGGGUGACCGACACGUGGCAUCCACCAUAACGGAACGCCGUUAAGCUAUCGGGUCGGGUUUUGGAUCCGAUAACCCGUUAACAGCCCCGACCAAUGGGGAUUUUCCAUGUGUAAAAUCAUCAUUGGCUGGAGGAAACACGUGUCGGCUCAUCGUUGGGACAUAUGUCAACCACUCAUUGGACGGAAGGCGCCUAUGAUACGUCGACAUGUGGCACGGCCCAACAGAGGCCCAUUCCUGUGAAAAGGCCGACCCGUUUGACUUGGUCAAAAGCUGGCGGGCCGUCCCAUGGAAAGCCUGUUAACGGCCUAUUCGAAUAUAGCCCAUUUACAACCCGCUAACCCAAGGCCCGUUACACCCUAUCCGAAUUAGGCCCAGUAGCGUCAUCUGGGCCAUCCAAUAUGAUUCCAGCCCGUUUUCACUUCUGGCCCAUGUAUGGCCCAUGACGUCUUUCGGCCCAUAUGAGGCCCUAUGUAACUCUUGGCCUACUAACGACCCGUGGUGAAACUGGGCCGUAAUGAACAGUGUAUCACUUUACACCCAUUAACGGCCCGUGGUGAAACUGGCCCAUAAUGAAUAGUGUAUCACAUUAUACCCAUUAACGGCCCGUUAUUCCGUUGGGCCGUUUCCAGCCCAUGUUAUCUUUCGGCCUUCUCAGAGCCCAUUUAUUCUUGGGCUCAUUUCCAGCAUUCGUUUACUUAUGGCCCGUUACUGUCAUUUUUUGCUUGUGGGCCAAAUUCAGCCCGUGGUUACAGUCGGCCCGUUUGUGGCCCGUUAAUACGCUGGGCCGAUUUCAUAGCGUCAUCAAAUAUGGCCUAUUAACGAUGGCCUGUUAUGGUCGGCCCAUGAACGGACGAUUCCAACUCUAGCGCAUUUACGGCCAUAAUGCGGUUUGUUUGGCCCAUGUUUGGCCAAUCGAUUAUACGGCCCGUAUAAGGCCCAUUGAUAAUACGGCCCAUAGAAGGCCCACUAUUUCUAUGGCCCGUAGAAGGCCCAUUGUUUCUACGGCCCGUAGAAGGACCACUGUUUCUACGGCCAAUAGGAGGCCCAGUGUCACUACAGUAAAUAUUAGCCCAUGGUUAUUGUGGCCUAGUUUUAAAAAAUAAGUUAUUGCAGCCACUAGCUAACCGUGGAAAAAGAACUGCAAUGACUACAAGCAAACAAAUAAACAAGACAACAAGGAAACAAAUAAGCAAGCAACUAACGCUAGGCUAUCAUGGCUAUUACACAUAUUACAUCCACUGGGCAUCAAAGUUCGCCACCAGUGCAAAUAUAGGGAACAAAGCAGCAUAUCAUAUACACUGGUUGUCAAAGUUGGCGACGAGCGCAAAUAAACGCCGCAGCAAAACAAAUCCAGAACUGAAACCACUUCAGAAGAUCUCAAGAAACAAUAUCUUGGGUACCCAUAAUGCUGGCAAGAUGCUUAGCAAGCUUAUUAACUUUCUCUUAUUUGGCGCUUAAAUCCUCCAGCGCUUGCUAUUGCACCAGAAAAUAUGCAUCUGAAUUCUGCAGGGACUUCCUCAGUCCUUCAGCUUCCCAUCGCAGCACAUCUGAUCGAUGUCUUUCAACUUGAAGUUGAGACUCAAGAAGACGAACUGAUUCAGGAAGCGAGUUCGAAGAGCUUGUGCCAGCAGUAGUGGCCAGUAACUCGAACACUACAUCAAGACAGGACUUUUGGGUUCCCUCACUGUCGUCAAGAUAGUUUUUAUCAGCUUUCUUGGAGACCAACAGGGAUGUCUCACUAUCUUGAACCUUAUCUGCAUUACUUCCUUUACCAUUGGAUAACGCGGUACUGUUCUCCAAUAUUUUGUCCGCAUUCUAAAAGAGAAACAAGCAGACAUCACAUGUUUACCAUGUUGUAUAUGAAACUCAUUUUGGUAAAUGAGUUCAGUAGUAAAGUGGACAGGAUAACAGCAUGAAACAAACAUAUAUCUAUGUACCAUGGUCACCUUAUGGUCUAUACCAUUCUAGUUUUUGUUGCCAAAUCAAGAUAGAGACACAGUUCAAAUAAUAUUUGUUCAAGGCAAAGCAGAAUAGACAGAAUAUAAGUGUGGGUAACUAUAGAGCAAUAACAACACUUGUAAUGUGCAUGACAUGAGAACAUAACUGUUUAUUCAAUUGAAACUGAAAUCAACAUAAAGCAGGUUACAACAGCAAACCAGUUAAAGAAACAAGUUUAAAACAUACCCGUUGCACCAUUGGAGUUUCAAUUCGAUCCUUCAAAUUUGAAAAUAGUUGGUAUGAGUAAAUACAGUCAUGCAAGAGCAAAGGAGUAUGAACCAUAGCUACAGAACCUGACCCGAGAACAAAUCUUCUUCUCCUUUAAGCGUUGAGUUGGGAUUCGGAGUGGUGGUCCUCGUGCUUUGUGCACUGCAGUUCCCUUACUAACUGCUCGUGUUUGGGUGCUUUGUGGUGGAGACAGUGCUGUGUCAACUGGAACUGGGUUACUAUCCGCCGGGGUUGGGGUUAGAAGGGGUGUAGCUGGUUCUCUGUCCAACUGGGUAGGGGUACAAUCUGCGAGAGUCUGGGUUAUGUGUGGUGGAUCUGGUCCUUGGGCAAGUACAACCGUGGUUCUAUCUGCAUCAACUGGCAGCACUAUCUUUUCUAAAGACCGUGUUGUUACUCCUUAGAUACUGCCAUCAUGCUCUCCAAUUCAAAUGGCUGAUAAACAAGAAAAGUAAUUGAAAGUAUAGACAUUGUAUGAUAGACAGGUGCAAUGGAUAGUGGGGAAUAAAAGAGGGCAUGAAAUAAUUCAUAUUUAUGUUGUCUAACCAAACAGGAUAGCAUGACACAAUUUCACAUAUAUGAUGGCUAACUAAACAGGAUAGCAUGGCCUAAUUUCACAUUAUGAUGGCUAACUAAAAAAGAUGGAAAGACAUAGUUCAAAAUAUGAGACUAUGUAAACAGGAUGACAUGACAUAACUAUAUAAUGUGUUUAUUAAAUAGGUUGGCAUGCCAUAAUUCACAUACAUUCACGGAUAGAAUGCCAUAAUUCAAAAUAUGAUGACUGUAAACACUAAACAAGAUGAGAUGAUAUAACUAUAUGAUGUGUUUAUUAAAUGGGUUGCCAUGCCAUAAUUCAGAUAGAUGAUGUGUAUGUACUAUGUAAACAUGAUGGCAUGAUAUAAUUCAAAUAUAUGAUUUAUAUAGUAAGCAAGUAAGCAGAUGGCAAUCCAUAUAUGAUGUAAAAACUAAGCAAUGCAAGACAACAUGCAUGACAUGGGUAAUAUAACCCUGCCAAGUUUUAGCAUAGACCUCAGGGGGAAAAUAGGACUGGUCAUCAGUCUCUGAAUCUUCCUCUGAGGAGCUCUCUGUAACCAGCAAGAUGUCUGCUUCAGCAGGUAGCAUUGUCUGCUCUGAAUACCUUGUUUUCACUCCAGAUACUUCCAUCACCGCUUCAAAUGGCUGAUGCACAAGAAGAGUAGUUGAAUAUACAAACGUUGUCGCCAAAUGGAACACGUAAUACAAAAAAAUGAUAGCAUGAUAUAAUUCACAUACAUGAUGAUUGGCUAAACAGCAUGACAUUGCAUAAUUCACAUAUAUAAUGCCUUUGCAACAAGAUAACAUUGUAUAAUUCACAUAUAUAAUGUCUUGCAACAAGAUGGCAAUGCAUAAUUCACAUAUAUGGUAAUUAGACACUGAAGAGGUGGCAUUCACACAAAGCAUGUCUAAACUAAUCAAAUGACAUAGCAAUGCGAGACACCAUACGCACGAUAUGAGCAACAUAACCCUGCCAAGUUAGAGCAUACACCUCGGGGGGGGGGGGAUAGGACUGGUCAUCUGUCUCUGAAUCCUCCUCUGAGGAGCUAUCCGUAACCAGCGAGAUAUGCGCUUCGUCAGAUAGCAUAGUCUGCUCUGAAGACCUUGUUUUCACUCCAGAAUUUGCCAUCACCGUGUCAAAUGGCUGAUGCACAUGAAGAGCAUUUGAAUGUAAUAACAUUGUUGACAAAUGUAAUAUGUAACGAAAAAAGGAUGGCCUGAUAUAAUAUACAUAUAAGAUGACUAGCUAAGCAGGAUGGCAUUGCAAAAUUCACAUAUAUGAUGCCUGGCUAAACAAGAUGGCGUUGCAUAAUUCACAUAAACGAUGAAUAAACUAAACAGAUGGCAUUCGCACAAAGGAUGUCUAAACUAAGCAGAUGACAUAUUUGAUGUAUAAACUAAGCAAUGCAAGACACCAUAUGCAUGAUAUAACCAACAUCAGCAUGCCAAGUUAGAGCGAAGACCCCAGGGGGUAAAUAGGAGUUGUCUUCUCCUUCUGAAUCCCCCUCAGAACAGAUAUCUUCCUCUCGAUUACAUUCCGAAAUGCGUGGAGGGGGGCUGCCUUUGCGCCUACCGUGGAGCGACGUCUGCAUGAAAUUUUGUUGCCACACAAGGCUCGUCUCGUUUGCUCUACAUGUUCAGUUCCAUUGUUUACAAUAACUGCCAUGCAUAGGAAUAAAACAUAGUGAGACUAUGUAAGGAGUGCAUGCAGAAAUCCAGAGUGAUGGUAGCAACCUGUGGAUAGACCCAAAACCAGUAAUAGCAGGCAGAUAAUGGCUUCAGUUAAAAAAUACAGAUAAUGGCUUCUUUACUAUUUGUUUCCCACCCAACAUGAAACUCACAGUAGACACCGGAGAUUAACCAGAUAGUAGAUAGAUACUAUUGAUAGCGGCCCCGAUAUGUACCCCACAACCAUUUAAAAACUCAAGUUUGACCAUUAGUUUGGAGCUAACUCAGAGUCUAAUCGGUGAACAGGACGAUAAAGUAGCAUGUAAUAUUAAGCGAUGCAUAACGUAAGCAGACACGAAAGAGUGCGACCUCUCUUGCGGACCCGUGUAGUCCCCGAGGUCAUCUGGUCGGUUGAUGAUGGUAGUGCUGUUUUCAUGGCUGCCAGCGGCGGGGAAGAAGAUCUGAGGCGGCGAAAGAUAGUCUGGAGGCCGGAUCCCUGCUGUGCUGGACCCUUCUGUCGUUGGAGCAGCUGAGCUGGGGUGGACGAUGGCGCAGCAGGAGCGGGACAAACCACGCAAGAUUUUCUUUGACAACUAUCUGUAAGAGAAGUAAUUCUGUAAGGGCUCGUUUGAAUUGGAGGAUUACAACAAUGCAGGGAUAGGAACUAGACAGGAAUAGGAUAGGAAUGCACGUGCAAAACAGAGAAUUUAAAAACACAGGAUUUCUGCCAAUCUGGGUGUUUGAUUCACAACAAUUGGAAGAUCACAUGAUGCAAAGAAGCAUGCUGAGAUUAAGUCAAACCACAAGAAAAUGUACGGUUAUAAUGCUAUUAUGCUACUAUCUUUUAGUCUUGUGCUUCAUGAAUAGGAAUUUGAAAAGGAGGACAAGUGAAAAUUAAAAUUCCUACAUUUUUUCUUUCAAGGAGACACUAAAGGAACAAAUCCGUGUGCUCAGUGGACAAUAUAUAUAACAUGUAGAGUAAAAAAGAGAUGCAACAAGUGUACAACCUCUUUGGCGAAGCCAUGUCGAUCUCAGCGUGAUUGGGUUGGCCGGUGAGGAUGCUCCGGCUGACUUGGUUGUCGGAGGAGGGGAAGAAGAUCUUAGGCGUCUGGAGAUGGAGCCUGAGGUACUGCUCCGCUGUGAUGGAGGGUUUCGUCGUUGGAGCAGCUCCGGUGAGUUGUACGACGCCGAGGCUGAAGCAGGACAAGAGAGACAACGAACAACGUUAACCUGAGUGGAAUUCUUAUAGCAUCUCCAAUACAUGAUGUAAAAUACAUAACCACAAAGUGCUAGAUGUAAAAUACAUCAGCCGCUCAUCUAUGAACUUAACUGUCGAAACUGAAUUUAACUGUUGAAACUGAACUUAACUGUCGAAACUGAAUUUUGCUGUCGAAACUGAAUUUUGCUGUCGAAACUGGACGCACUAGCAAGGUGAGGCUACAUGUCGGUCGACUGACUUUUUCAUCUCUGGUCAGUCGAUUUUGCAGCCAUUGCAUACGAAAUCAAGGGCCUGCGGUUCAUCUUCAACCUCCACCCCCCUGAGCCGGCCAAACAGCAGCCCCUCGCCGCCCGCGGUGCGCCGCCCUGCCCGCCCCGAAAACCUCCCCACCAUCGGUCCGCCGCCGCCCCGGCCAUCCCACUAGGCCCUCCCGUGCCGAGCUUUUUCUCCAGCGAUCCCCACACCACUGCCCCGCUAAAGCCCCGCCACCGCCGGCGACCACCGCCCCCAUCCUGAACCCUAAGAUAGAUAGUGGGGUACCUCUCCUGCGAGCCCCCCUCCCUGCUGCGGCUGGUUCUUCCUUCACCCCGGCGGCAUCGGAGUGAAGUGUAGCUAAAUCGGAGCAGCAUCACAAGCAAGAGCAAGAGCGAGAGCAACAGCGCGAGCAAGAGCAAUAACAAGAGCAGACCAGGCAGGGGACCGAGAGCAAGAGCAGAGCAGUAGCGAGAAAGCAGUAGUAGGUCCUACUGGUGUGGACGUCGCCGCUGAGGGAGCGACGCCGUGGAGGAAGUGGCCGGCGCCGCCGCCGUGGAUGGAGCCGCGCUGUGUCGUCUCGGGACCGAGCGCCGGCAGCACCGUGAGAUCGAAUCAAGAAGAAAAUGCGGUGAUUAGUGUACAACCUCUUUGGUGGCGCCGAUUAAGCCGCAGCUUCAUCCAAGGAAACGGUGAUGAUGAUGCUCUUCCGGUGGUGCAGGUGAAGACGGCGGUGUGGGAAUGGAGGUGGCGCAAAAGACGAGGGGAACAUCGGGGCAACUCCUUGGAGGUGGAGGACGGGGUGGCUGAACCGGCGAGAUGAUGAGAUCGAUGACGGAUCCUCAUCCGGUACGGUGGAUGAGGGACGUCGAGGUGUUGCUGUGGACGACGUCGUCGGGGAAGAGGCUCCGGCUGGGUGGCGGACGGAGCAGGGUGUGGGGUUUCGUCGCGGGUUUUCUCAGCCUCAGUGUGCGAAUGGGUGGGCGGAUGGGAUGGCAGUGGGGAACCAUGGCUUAGAGACGCGCUUGUUCGAAAUGUGGGGUAAGUUACGAAAGUACCCCCACCGAUUUGAGGCGGUUCUUUCGGUUCAGGGGUACCACGGGCAUUUUGCGUGUCGGGAUUUCACAGGAGGUGGGAAUUUUCGCGCGUGUUGUAAUUUUGGAAUAGCAAGGCGUGGGUUGAGAUGGAGGGAGUUGUCGGAGCACAACGAGACAAAGAUAUAUCUUAAAUAUUUUGGGCUAACAAGGCGCGGGUUAAAAUUUCCGGACAAGCCUAACGUGUACUGUACGAAAUCAAUGCGCCCUACGAAUGUCAUUCAAAACUUUGAAUUCAUGUUAUGCUCAAUUAAAAUAUUUCGCUACGUAUAUAAUGCAUGCAACCUACUACUCAAAUGAACAUUUUAGUGCAUUCCAAACGUAUAUACUACCGCUUCAAUAUGAACUAAAUUUGAAUUCGUUUCUCUAUUUGAAUAAGAUCUACAGUAAUGAUUGUUGUGAAGUCAAAGCAUUUGAAUUCGUUUCUCUGUUUUAAUAAGAUCUACAAUAUCAUUAUUGUCAAGUUAAACCAUUGUUUGUGUAUUAUCUUCACAACACACCACAUGAUUAGUCUCGAGUUACAUAUGAACUAUGUGUACUAUAUGAACUCGAACUAGAUUUUUUGAAUCCACUUUAUUUUGAUUUCAAAUCACAUUACAUUUCUAGCUCUAGCUAGAUCUUCAUAAUCUAAACCAUGUCUCAUAUGUAUAAUGUGUUUAUCACAUUAUGUAUGGUGCCCCGCCCCCUACGCCUACAAGUAUUUAGAUGUGAGUUGCAAACACCACACAUUACCACAAAUUCAAAUAAAAUAUGAGAAUGUUCGAUAUAUAGUAUUGUUUAGAUUGUUCGAUAUUUAGUUGUAAGCUGCAAACGCCACACAUUAUCACAAAUUCAAAUAAAAUGUGAGAUUGUUUGAUGUAUAGUAUGGUUUAGAUUGUUCGGCAUUUAGCUGUGAGUUGCAAACACCAUGCAUUAUCACAUUAUGGUAUAACAUGUGCACAACACGUGUAUCACCGCUAUAUUCAUGCAUGCAAUGUUUAAAACACUAUGAUCUCCUAUUCAAAUAUAUGAAUCCGCUUUCAUAUCAAAUUAUGAUCUUAGUUAGUCUCUUACACCCACACAAUCCUCUAACCUUUGUAACUACCACUAACUUUCUCUCGUGCAUGCACACACCCUCCUCGCCCUCCCCCUCCCUCGGCAUUCUAUACACCGGGCACAUUCAUUUUUUUUCUUUAGGUCGUUCUCCCAGAGUCUCCACAACUCCUUUCCGACACACACCGAUCGAUAAACCUCUCCAGCGAUGCCUGUCUACAACAUACAAACACACCUUCAAUCUCCUCCUUUAUGUGUCAUUGCCUCGUGUCUCUCAUACGGUCAGACACACGUGUAAACUCUCGCCCCUCUUUUCAUCGCUCUCUCACAACCGCACACUCCUCCCCCUAUCUAGCUAGUAGUUGGGCCUCUCGCACCACCUCCUAGCUCCAUUCUCUUUGUCUAUCCAUCUCGCUGGGCCUUAUUAGCCUCUAACAAAUGGACGUACACCGACCGAUCUCUCGCUAUACAUAUAGCUAGCUAGGUCCUUAUAACUCGUUUUUACCCACACUUCAAUCGAUCUACCUCAUUAGUUGUGUCUCUCCCUUCCUCCGACAAACAACAAUUGAUCUACUGAUCUAGUUAGGUUUGCUUACCAAACACAUGGUUCCCCUUCAUCAUCCAUGGAUGCGUCCCGACGGAUCUAUCACGCACAGGCACACACAUAAACACAUCCCCACUCUUAUUGAUAACAUUGCAGUUCCACCCUCAGUUUGUCUAGUAGGCCUCUCCCACCAUCUUCGAGAAGCAAAUCCACCACCCAUCUAGCACUCUACCCUCUCCCUCCGUCUCCCUCCCUCUCUCUCCUCCAUCUCUCUCCCAUCAUAUUUCCCGUCCUUCAGUUAUGUAUGGAUGUCGACCGAUCUCCCUCAAGACAUAGCUGGGUCUCUCCUUCUCAACGCAUAUACGAGUCGUUCUACCUCUAUAGUUAGGCCUCUGCCUACCACUCCCACCACCCCCUCCCCCCACACACACCGAUACAUCGAGCGCUCUAGUCAUGUCUCCCUGCCACACACAAACUUGACGUGUGCCCUCUAACGUUCCGGUAGGCCAGUCGCCCUAUAUCUUUGACUUGUACACACACACAAUUUCGAUGGCUCUCUUCAUCGAUCUCGCACCCACCCACUUGAUCCUCUCUUAGACUCUAUCGAUAGCUAUGACCCCUCCCUCUCUUCUCGUGGAUUGCCCGACCCUCUAUGUAUGAUAUGGAUAGGCGUCCAUUUCACACACAUUGCAUGCAAAAUUUUGUUUCAGAUGUCAUCGAUACAUAUUCCCACAAAUAAUUCAUGAAAUCAACCCCCACCCCACCCCCACCCCAAAACAAAAAACACUCACGAACGCGGUUUGUAUCUCUCACACACACCCACGUAGGUGGGGAACGUGCACGAAGAGAAGAGGUGCAUGCACGGUGCACGUACUCCCGUCUCUUUCCCAACCACGCCCGCGCGGGUACACGGUGGAGCUCAUUUCUGUACGAAAAAGGCAGCCCACGUGGUAAUUUGGCACGUGUGGUUUUCCACUUGGUGGAGGGAGGAUCAUCUACCACGAGUGAACAAACAAAUUGCGACUUGACGUGUUAUGUUAAAAAAAGAGGCAAACCAUGUGGGGCCUACCUUAGAGGCAAGGCUCUAUACACUGGAGUAAUUUUGAUGUGUCCCAUCAACUCACAGAAUGAGGAGAAGCUUGCAUAGUACGCCGUAUCCCCCGCCCACGGGCGCGGUGGCUCGCAGGAUGAGGUGAAGCUUGCUUACUACACCUUACGCCCGCUCCCUCGCCCAUGCACGCGGUGGCUCGCAGGACAAGGAGAAAAAUUUACUACUCCCACCGUUUACUCCUUGUCCCUACUACCUUGGUUAUAGAGAUUAUAUCAUAUUGUUUGGAAUAUAUAUGUCCUUUAGUAGAUUUCAAUAUGAACUACUAGUACAUACUCCAAACACUGAUGUAUAUAGACGUAUUUUAGAGUGUAGAUUCACUCAUUUUGCUCCUAUGUAGCACUCUCCCUCGCCCCUCGACCCUCGCCCACGUGGUGGACGUGCAGCAAUUCAUUCGGUCUCAUAUAGCCAGAACGAUAUAUAUACUGCACUACCAUUAUUGCUCGACUUCCCGAAAAGGCAGAGAGCCAAUCGCAAGGUCAAUAUUUUGGAGAUGCCAAGCGCAAGGUUAUAGGAGAACGAGUAGUAGGUGCUGCGUCAUUUAUAAAUAAAGUUUUUUUCUUUAGUGGCACGUACGCAAUAUGAUAGGUUCAUAUGGAGAGAAAAGGAGUACAUAGUCAGGACGGGCCAGCCUACACGGUUGCUUGCUGGGGUUACUCUCUUCACACUCUCUCGCACAAAACGACUGUGGCCACAUCUCUAACAUCUCGACGGAUCACGUCCGCUUGGGGAAGGGGUGGAUGUUUAGUGUAGAUGCGGUGGCCGUCGCCGACGGUGAAAACCCACUGUCGGCACGUCCCGAUCAGGGGUCCCCACCAUUCUCUCUCACAAAGCCGGUGAGGUUGCCUUCGUCCCUUGCUCACUGCCGCGACGUGGGCAGUUGCCGCCUCCCGCCGCCCUCCUCAAGGUUGAGCUACGUCCCUCAGGUACAACUCCCUUUACAGACGGCUUGCACCGCUGCUCCAGCUGCCCACAUCACUCACUGUGGAUAUUUCUCUACUUCUUUGCCCCGCACAUACCUCUACUGGCUUCUACAAACUGUAUUUGUGAUGAGUUUAUGUCUCAUCAAUUAGUCCCAGUAAUCUUAUUCUAAUCACGCUUGUUCAAUUUCUUUGCCACAGGGAUGCUCAUCUCGAUUUUGGUGAAACUGCACAAAAUGAUCCAAUGGUCAAAAGGUUGCAAACUUCAUUUAUUAGGAAGCUCAAAUGUUGCCAGCAAAUUGAAUCCUGGUCAGGGUUCACGGUUCAAGGGCUAGGGACUGCAUGGAUCAUUUUUUCUUUAGCUGCCUCUGUUCCAAAAUAAGUGUCAACUUUAGUAGUAGUACAACUUUGUACUAAAGUUUGCACAAAGUUGAGAAACUUAUUUUGGAACGGAGGGAGUACAUAUUUGCUAUGAUUUGUCAAUCAUUGAGAUGCAAUAGCAUGCAUGUUAGUCUCCUUUGUAUUUGAUGAAAUGUUGCAACGGGCAACCUUGGACGCAAGAUACAUGUAACAGAAGCUGGAAGCUUCAUAGCAUUGUACAAAUUUAUCUCGCUGAUAAAUUACAGUACGUACAGUACUAGUACUUCCUCCGUUCCUAAAUAUAAGUCUUUGUAGAGAUUUCACCAUGAACCACAUGCGGAUGUAUAUAGAUGCAUUUUAAGUGUAGAUUCAUUCGUUUUGUUCCAUAUGUAGUGGAAUCUCUACAAAGACUUAUAUCUACUAGUAAUAGCUAGCCCCCACUACUAGGAAUUCUCUAUCCUCUCCUUGAGCCACGCCAUCAAAAUUGAUGUAGCCGUUAGAUGAAGUAAAUCAGUCCAUAAUAGCCGUCUGAUCUUGACGUUGAGAGGCUCCGCACUAAGCCACAUGCAAGCAUGCAGAAAUACCGUGCCACAUGCAUGUGAGUGGGUUUUAAAUCACAUCAACAUGUCUGCAUGCAAGCAUGCACCGGUAGCAUGCAUCUAAGUGAGAUUUUAAGUCCCAUUAACAUGUCAAAAAGAAAAAUAUAAUCCCAUUAUGCAAUAGGAGUUCAGGAGUUGGCUGAUCUUUUUUCCUUACGUGGGAUGAUCUAAAUGAUGAUGGGAGUUUAUUUAGUUUGGCUACCACAUUUUUCAUGCGGUUAUAGAGUUUUUUUUGUUCUAUGAAAUCGAUGAUUUUGCGCAGAGAGAUAUACCGCUGUUCCGCGCCAACGCGCGGGAACUCAUCUAGUAAUAUUUAGGAACGGAGGGAGUACUAUGUAAAGAGUUAGGUGUCUCACGGUGAUAGUAGUGUGAGGUGGGCCAUGUAAUCACUGAGCCUGCGUGUUUUCACUCCUCUUGCACGCCUCCGCUGUAAGAAUGGAGAAAAUUGUAAUCUAGUAGUAGUAGUAUACCUCCUUUCGCAGAAAGCGUGGGGCAUCCAACAGUCCUACCACCUCAGUAAUAAAGACCAAUGAGCCGUCAAAUCACAUAGACCCAGCAGUAAGUUGGACGGACGAAGCAACCAUCACUCUUGCGCCAGUGAGAGGUCGCGUCCGCUCUGCCCGGGCAUGAAUGCGGCACCGAUUCUUUGGAGCGAUGCUGACCGUUUUGGGCGGGAAGCGCGCGCGGAUGAUGGAUGGGCUUUGGGUGGGCCAGGCUGGUCAGGAGCAGGCGUGGCAGCUGUCCGCAUGUCCCUACCGGACACGCCCGGAAACGAGAGGAUGCACCGAUUCUCGCGGCUAAAAUCAUACACUACACAACAUCUCUCUAUAGGAGUAGGUCGAUCUGUCGCUCUCUCUAACACACACAUGGUGUUAAACACACACACACACACACACACACAUGCACGCACCUUGGUCCCGUUGCACCUUCUAACGUGACUUAUUACACCUAGACGGAGGGAGUAGUAAGUAUAUGAGAUACAGUGGCACACUGACUUAAGUCAAAUACAAGUGGCCAAAAUUUGUGUGCAUGUUAUAAUAAGGAUUCACUUAAAAUAGUACGUGAGCGAACAGAGGGAUCAAUUGGACAGUGUUCCCGAGCAGUAGCGAGAUGUGUGAGGUAAGAUACACCGCUGGCGCUUUUAAUUUUUCUUAUUAAUAUGUUUGUUUCACCCUCUGACUGGUGGGACCCAACGUACUACAUGGAGAGAGGUAAGGUGACUAAGGCUGCAUUAUUUCUGCACCACUCUGGAUAGUCUUACCACCAAAGCCACAUGACACGAUUAUGAUUGAAAUCCCAAUGACUCCCACACACACAAAAAAAACACGG